ensembl:lncRNA
UUUUUUUCAUGCAGGUCUGUCCCCUACAUGGCCUGUGCAAUCAGGAAUAAGAUGCCUCUUGGGGUAUGUCCUCAAUAACCCUGAAGUUUAUUCAUCACACAGAGAAGCAGACAUUCCUACAUGUCAAUCCUGCUGAUAGUCAGUGAGUUCACAGAGCUCCUCACAGCCAAUACUGUGGUCAAAAUAAAACCCACAAGCAAACAGGAGCCACUGAGUCUCUAAAUUCAACCAAUGACUUCUCCCUUUUUAUGAAUAUGCACAUCUGUGUAUGUCUUCAGUAUCCAUAUCGUGGCCUUUACAACACCGUCAUGUAAACAGGCAUUGUCACUGGCGUGUCAUGAUUUCUUCGUACUCACUUUGGUUUACAUUUACUCGAUGACUCAGGAAUGUCAAAUUUCGGUCACCAGGCUUGAAUAUUAACCAGAGACAUGUGAAAUCAUUAGGCCACUUCUGGGCUGCUUUGUGUUCUCGAUGUUUGUUUUUUUGUACUACUUGUUGCCAUAGAAGCAGACCAGAACUGAACUGUGAAAUCCCAUAAUAAGGUAUGGCACUGUAUUUACUUUUUAUUUUUUUGUGGAAAGCAGACUUGCCCUGCUUGGCUCACAGCCUAGUACAUGCAAUUUCCCUGGGCAUACAUUGUAAAAAUCAUGCGCUGAUUUGUUUUGAUAGAUUCCAAGAAACCAAAACAAGAACAUUUCAAAUGGACUUUGACCAUUGACACAGCGAGUCUGGUUGGCAGGAUGUGUUAACCCAAAUGAAGGGGCAUUACACCUAAAUAAAUGAGAUGUGGAAGGGGCAGGAUUACCAGAGUCAACCCUUCAGUUUUAGUGCCUUAUAAUACUUGUUGACUCAGUACUCCAAGACAAAGCAUUUUUAUGGUAUCUCGCUUUCUUUUUUUUUGUACACUAUUUCUAUAGAAUAUCAUUUGAAUCCUUGACCUGUCUGUGAAUUCAACAGUUUUAAUAGCAUUAGAACACAUAGAAAGUGGGCUGCUUUAAUCGCUAGCCGUUUCACAUGUGAGGAUAGUAUUAUGACUAAUUUUAUGAAUCAUUCUGAAAAUGCACAGCUUCAGUGUUUUGUACUUAACUUUGAUAAUUAUGGAGCUCCACCCUCCACCCUGAUGACUUACCCAACCAAAAAUUUACAUUUAUGCUACAAUGUUCCCAUCUAUACUAACUAUGAAGGAGGAAGUUCAAUGCCAGUGUGAUUAAAUGAUUGUGUAAUUCAGUGGUUCCUAUCCCUUGUUCUGGAGGAACCCUUCUCUGCCAUUUUGUUGUCCUUUAGUUUUGGUCUAAUUAACAGGCCCUUGCUGAUACUGCAGUCACGUCGUAUAAGAAUAACUGUUAUUACCAUGCUUCGACUGAGGAAUAUAUUUUACCUCAUUUUCUGAUUGGAAAUGUAAAGCCAGAAUUUUGGGAUCUUCACAAUUUCCCGAACCAAACCUAUAAGUGAGGCAAAAGACUACUUGAAAAUGUUGUGUGUCCAGUUUCCGGGUUAUUUUUCAGUUUGUAUUAAAUUUAAAAAAAAUAAGGACAGAAAUAUGCUAACUUUUUAACAUAACCACAGCUAUAUGUUAAACAAAAUGGUAAUGUGCAAACACUGUCCCCUCAAAUUUUCCCACAUGACGUGAAUGUGAUUGAAGCAGGCUUAGGAACAGUUGGGCUUUUUUAUUUUUUGUGUACUACUAAGAGAUUAUCGAGUUUGUCUUAUGUUUAUCAUUUUUUUUGUAUGUUUGUUUGUUCUGGCUCUCAGAACUUUGUUCUUGUGGGUUUGUCUGACCCAGUAUUCCCGUCUGACAUUUUAUUGGACCAGUACUUUUUAUUUCCCUUGCUUUAGUAGUUCCACUUGAUCUAAAAGCAACAUGUCAGUUAUUUAUAGUAUGUUUUAUUUCUGUAUUGAUGAUGAUUUUUGGCUUAUGUUUCAAUGUAGUUUUCUAAAUUAAUGUAAGCAAUUACUAAUGGUCUGGUGUUUUAUUAAGUAUUGAGAUAAAUAAUGUAAUGUAUAAUUCACACAUUUUACACAUCAAAACCUUGGAUUUAAAAGUUUCUAUUUGGCAUUUUUGACAAAAAUUUUUUUUUUGUAAUGACUAUUUUGUUAAGAGGACCCUGAAUAUGAUAUUUAAAAAUUGCAAAUAAAAUAUUGAUGCUAUACAGUAUGUAUAAAUUCUAGGAGUUCAUAUCAAACUCAAUGUUAUAAAGCCAUAGAAUAUUAGGAUAGAACCUAAUUUUGGAUCGAUAUUCAACAAUAGUAUUUCACUGCAAUUUACCACAGCAUUCUAAUCCUUUGAUUAUGAUGUAAUAUAAUAAUUCCUAAAGAUUUGAAAAUGUUCAAUGCUUAAAAUGAUACACUUUUUUAAAUUCUGUAUUAAAAUGUGGUAUGUGAUGAUCAACAGAUGUUUGUUCUAAAGACUAAUUCUACUAAUUCUAAGUGUGAAUUAUUAUUUUGUUUGUUUGUUUGUUUUGCACUCCCACUUCUCAAGGAAUUCUGACCAAUCUCAUCUGGCCAUACAGUUAUUGUUUUUGUUUCUAUCUGCCUAUAUUUUCUAAUUAAUUUAAUUGGUUAUAAUUCCCAAAAUGUAAAUAAAUGAGUAAUUUAAACCAUAGUAAUCUUGGCCAGGAUAAAGUCAUUACUGAAAUUGAAUGUAUCCCCAUUCUGCACAAGCAAACUGCAGCAUUUGGUGCAUUCCUGUGUUCAUGAAUGUGACCUUUCUUUGUCUUGAAAGCUUCAUAUCUUUCCACUUAGUCCUGUCUAUAAGAGAGUAGAAAAGGCCCUCUCCUUUUAUUUAUUUUUUUUAGUCCCAUAGGAUUCCAGUCUACAUGUGCAGCAAUGAACUAUUUACUGUUAUGCUUGAUUACUGCCAAUUCAGCGAUACUUGUGUGGGCUCAAAGUUGACAGGGUUGGACAUAUUUGCUGUAGGUCUCUCUCUGUCUCUCUCUCUGUUUCUCCACCAUCCUCUGCAAUUAAUGCCUGAUUUUGCUAGGGUUAGGGUUAUCAUCAUUUUGGUAUGCCAUUAUAAAAGCUGCAUUGUUUAGUUAAUUGCAUUAAAUGACAGGGUGUUCCACCUGUCACUUUCUAGACUGCCUCAGGCGGAACACUGCCCAUGGUGUGUGCUGUUUAGCUGAUGCAAUCCUCCACCCAGAUAUCAAUCUGUAAGCUCAUUUACAUGAUCUCACAUUUCCUCCCCGUGUGUUACAUAUUAUCUGCACUCUACUAUGUGUUACACAUAUGAGCAUGGUAUUAUAUUACUUACAGAUCUGUGCUGUUUGCCCUAUUUAUAAUUGCUCACAAAAAAAUAAAAUUAAAUUAUUAACUGUAUUAAGUGGCUUUAUUCAUUUAGCAAAAUUAAUGAUGCAUCAAAUUAUCUCAUGGUGUACAUGGUGUACAUGUACCUACAGAUCAUUAUAGCCUUGACCACCAAAUUUCAGCUUUGUUUAACACUGACUUCUUCCCUGGGGAGUCAAUAUCACUCGAUUUAACCUACUUAAUUGACUGUUUAUAUCUGCUGAAAGUAUUGUGUUUUAUCUGUUCACUGUAACUUGUCUUUUUCUGAGCUGA